rnacentral:rRNA from 1 species
AUUGAACGCUAGCGGGAUGCUUUACACAUGCAAGUCGAACGGCAGCACGAGAGAGCUUGCUCUCUUGGUGGCGAGUGGCGGACGGGUGAGUAAUGCAUCGGAAUGUGCCCAGUAGCGGGGGAUAACUACUCGAAAGAGUGGCUAAUACCGCAUAUUCUCUACGGAGGAAAGAGGGGGAUCUUAGGACCUCUCACUACUGGAGCAGCCGAUGUCGGAUUAGCUAGUUGGUGGGGUAAAAGCCUACCAAGGCAACGAUCCGUAGCUGGUUUGAGAGGACGACCAGCCACACUGGGACUGAGACACGGCCCAGACUCCUACGGGAGGCAGCAGUGGGGAAUUUUGGACAAUGGGGGRAACCCUGAUCCAGCCAUCCCGCGUGUGUGAUGAAGGCCUUCGGGUUGUAAAGCACUUUUGACAGGGAAGAAACAGCACCGGYUAAUACCCAGUGCCAAUGACGGUACCUGUAGAAUAAGCACCGGCUAACUACGU